AAUUUUGUGCUCACCGUCUCAGUACCAGCAUGAAAGUUGAGCCGCAACCUCCCUUAGAACAGGUUACUCUCCAUCUCCAAGGCUCCAGACAGGGUUCGCAAU
ensembl:misc_RNA